rnacentral:snRNA from 1 species
GGACGAUCAAGUUAUCAUUGGCUCCAAGAAGGCGAAGCAGAUCGCCAAGAGUAAGACGAGGCCCUCCAAUUCCACUGACGAUGGCUUCAACUCUUACGCCACCAACUUCCAGGG